GUCGUUUGCUUUCAGGAAGCGGCGCAUCAUCGUCAGCGCGUUCACAACAACAAGGCGGACAGGGGCAAAAACAUCGACCUGACCGCAAGAUAUUUGCUCUGUUUUCAUACGUGGAGUUCAGAAAAAUGGACAAAUGAAGUGACCGCCAGGAUACAAUGUCCUCGUUCCAGGUGGUGGAUUCCUCACCUGGCAGCAGCGUCAGUAUUAUGGAAACGUCCAACUUUGCCCACGUCAUCUUCCAGAAUGUUGGCAAAAGUUUCCUGCCCCAGGCACCCCUGGAGUGUCGCUACACGCUCACCCCUUACAUCACCCCCCACCCAAAAGACUGGGUGGGCAUCUUUAAGGUGGGCUGGAGUACAGCCAGAGAUUACUACACCUUCCUGUGGUCCCCUAUGCCUGACAACUAUGAACCAGGAAGUACUGUGCACAGGACAGUGGUGUUUCAAGGUUAUUAUGUUCCCAAGUCUGACGGGGAGUUCUACCAGUUCUGUUAUGUCACACAUGCCGGCGACAUCAGAGGGGCCAGCACUCCUUUCCAGUUCAAGUCAGCCACGCCUACCGAGGAGCUGCUGACUGUCGCAGAGGAUGACAGCAACUCGGACAUACUGGUGGUCACCACCAAGACGGGACUGCUGGAGCGUGUGGAGGAGGCCCAGCAGGAGCGCAGGGAGCUACUGAAAGCCAUGCGGGUCCUUCAGGAGGAAAAACAGCAGCUGCAGGAUGAGCAGAAGCGACUUGCCCGGGAGCGGGAGCAGGAGAGGGAGACAUGCUGUCUGCUGCGGACACACAACCAGGAGCUGCUGCGUUCCUCACAGUCUUUGUCUGAGGAGCGGGAGGAGGUGAGGAGGAGGCUGACUGAAGCCACGGAUCGUGUUCGCCAGCUGGAGGAGGACCUGCUGGGAGUCACACAACGAGGUCUGCAGAAGGAGACUGAGCUGGACUGUCUGCGUGAUCGCCUGAAGAAGCUUACGGCAGAGCGAGACAGCUUGGAGAUGCAGCUAAAGAACGAGAAGGAUGAGCGGGAUCUCUACAAGGCCCAUCUGCGUAGCACUGAGCUGGAGAACACCAAGCUGAGUGCUGAGCUGCAGAUGCUAAAGGCAGUGGAGCUGAACCGAGAGGUGACCAUUGCUCAGUUCCAGGAGGAGCUGGAGAGACUCAGGAGCUGCGUGGCCCAGCGCGACAGUUUGGAGAAAGAGCUGCUGAUGCUCAAAGCUGACAAGGUUGAGCUGGUGCGUGUGCGUGAGCAGCUCCGUCAGGCCGAGGAGCAGCUCGCUGCAUCCAGGCAGCAGGCUUCCCUGCUGGCCUCGGAGCUCCGUGACUCAGCCAGCUCCCGAGACCACUCCAUGACAGAGCUGUACCGUGCGCGACUGGAGGUCGACAAGCUCCGUGACAGCCUGGCUGACGCUCAGGCCGAGUGUCAACGUAUGGAGAGCCAGUUGGACCGCAUGAGGAGCACCGCGCACAAGGAAGUGGGUGUUGGAACCAACGGCGAGGUAGCACCCGGCACACUGAUUGUGUCGGAGGUCGAGGCUGAGCUGCAGAGGGAGGUCGAGGAGCUGAAGCUGCGCCUCCACAUGGCCGCUGAGCACUACAAGGAAAAGUACCGAGAGUGCCAGCGGCUUCGCAGGCAGGUGGCCAAACUGAACACAAGCGAUUCGCAACCGGAGCAUAAGAGAAAUGCAUCCACUGAGACAGCUUUGGAGCCACUCACCCCAAGUCCACAAUCACCCACAGGAGGAAGUAUUGGCGCAGCGGCCCUCCAAGACACUGCGGCUGAGACAAUCAGUGCUGAACUUGAAAGUACACCCAGUAGCACAGAGAAUGGGGAGAAGCAGAGCGAGGAUGCGUCGACAGGGAAAGAAGUGAACCAGGAAGAGGAGGGCCAAGAACACGACGCGAGACGUGAGGAGGACAGCCUGAGGAUGACCAGCUGGGUGGAAGUGGAGGGCAAUGGAGAGGCGGAACAACAGCCGGAGGAGGAGGAAGAGGAGGAAGACAAUGAGGAGACGAGCAGCUCAGAGGAGGAGGCGUCAGAGAGGGAGCAGACCCACUCGGUGGAGGAGGAGCUGGCACUGAUGGAGGAGAAGUGGAAGGAGCAGUGCGCCAUCAACGAGACUCUCAAACAGCGUCUGGCCAAUGAGGAGGAGCGAUUUAGAGUACAGAUGGCAGAGCGGACCACUGAGGUGAUGGACCUCAAACGCGACCUUGCCCAAGCUUUGAAAGACAAGGAGCGACUGCAGGAGGAGUUGCAUCUCUUUGUGAGUCAGCAGAGGCAGCGUGACGCCCGCACUGAAGGUGCUGAGGUCAAGCAGCCCAUGGUGCUGCGUUAUCCGCUGCCAUACCCGCAGGACCCGUCACCGCCCCCUCUGGUACCACAGAGACCCGCUGAGCUGCAGUAUGGUAACCCCUACGCUACUGGCGACACAAAAGAACAGGAAGCAGAGGUUGCACUUUCUCCCGAGCAAAUGUCGCGGCCUCCACCUGAAGCCCCGCAUUGCGCCACUCCCUGCGCGCCACCGAUCACAUCCCUAAAUGCGAGCCCUGUUGCACCAGGCUGGGACAGAGAGGUGGUCUGCAUCCAGCCGACACGCAGCACCACCCCCCCGGAGACUGUGGACGUGCCACCUGCAGAGGACCCACAGAAUGUCUGUGAUGGGGCUCAGCCAGCUUGUGACCAUCAACCCAACAGACGUGCUGAAGCCAGAAGCAGCUUCUGCUUUGACGCAAGUGGUGACGUCCACAAGCGCUGCCCCCUCUGCGAGGUCAUCUUCCCGCCGCACUUCGAGCAGCGCAGCUUCGAGCAGCACGUGGAGAGCCACUGGAAGGUGUGUCCCGUCUGCUCCGAGCAGUUUCCCCUCGACUGCCAACAGCGCCUCUUCGAGAAACACGUCCUCACGCACUUUGACGGACACGUGCUCAACUUCGAUCAGAUCGAGUGACGGGCACGGCGUGGCACCUCACUCUCUCUUCCCCCGCUCCCUCAAAUGUGGUCAGUUGUGUCGUUCAUUCCGUGUACAAUCAUUGGAACUUCUUUGCAGGUAGAACGUGGAGGGCGACUUCCUCUCAAAUAGGUCUGCUUCCCUUUCUUUACUUUAAUGCUCAUCAUUGUUGCACCACGGCAGUGCAUGUGAAUACUCUUACUAUCGGCUGCAAAGAAAGAACACAAUGGUGUGUAUUUUAAGUGUAAAGGAAUAUGUGGGAUAUAACAGACUUGGUAGCUUCCAAAGCAUAGUGCUGUUAAAAUAAAUCUGCACUAAAUAAGGCUUUAUUCUGAAUGUAAUGUACAUACGGACAUUUGUUUUGUCAGACGACUCCUGGCGUGCACUUUCUGCUUUAUGUUGAGGUUAUCGGAAGACACUUUGAAUCAUCAAAUGACCAUAUUCCAUAAAAAGUGGUGUGUGUGUAUACACAUUAAAAGCUGGAUGAAUGUAUGUGUACCUACAUUGCUACAUCGUCACUGCUUUAUUCUUAUUUAUUCAGGCUUUACAAAUUGCACACUCAAUCACAAAGCCGACGUGUGUGUGUGUGUGUGUGUGUGUGUGUGUGAGAGAGAGAAUAUAAGUGUGACUGUCAAAAAUAUCUUUAUGAAUAAAGAAGCUUAUCCAACAGUUUUGAUCUUUAUUUUUGCGUCACCUCUUUACAUUGAAGCAGCUUUUCGUUUUUAUAUAGAAAGACAGUAAGCCCCUCCCCUGCCCCGAUACAAAACACUUAUUUCCACGUUACAUACGAAAAUAUAAUUUAAAAGCACUUGACAACAGAAAAGACAUUUUACGAUACAUUCACUGUACAUGGUAAAUAUUGGACCCUCCCUGGUCCUCUUAUGUGUAAUACUGCCAUUGUGGCCACUGAUUGGACGACAGAUUCUCCUAUGGGGCUUUUUAUUUUUUAUAAAUAGGGUGAAAAUUGGCAAAAUGUGCGGACAAAUAAGCUCAUAGUUGAGCAUUUAGUGCAGGGGGUGCAGAACUAAUCUACUGUAUAAUAUAUGAAAUGUCUUCAUUUUUAGAAUAGCAUGGAGGACCAGGUCAAAUGCUGACGUGCCAUAUAUGGCUCAUGGACCACAGGUUACUCGCCCUGCAAUAAUCAUGUGAUUUCUCUCUUUUUUUUUUUUUUUAAACCCAAGAGGCAAUGAGUGACAAAUCGAUGUCGGCCCUCCUGCUGCACAGGAGCGACCCAACACAGCCUGGCACUGGGCAGGCAAAGGGUUUCUCGUCCCCACCGUUCAUACACAUGGAGCUGAGGAUGGACUCGGAGCUGAUGGCGCUUUCUGUGGUCCACGACUCGUCGCUGUCUGACUCCUCGUAGUCUACCUCCUCCUCAUCAUACUCACUGCCUGGGGGCCGAGAUGGAGAAAAACAUCCAUUACAAUGGCACAUAUGAUAAAAGAGGUAACCCUAACCCUAACCGAAUGAACAUGGCUGGUCCUGUUGCUGAUGCUGCUUUGUCAAAAGGUAAUCUCUUAAUUUGUCAAUGGGGUUUGGGCUAAUUCAGUUGGGUUCAUCAUCUGCCAUUCCACCAAUACAAUUUGGACACUUCCAACUACAGUCCAAAUGCAUUGGGAAAAUAUGGCGGUAACAGCUUCCGCCCUUGUGGGAAGACUUUAUAUUCAGCUGUGUGAGGAUCACACAAAUUGUUCCACAUCCCUUCGGAGCGAGCACGGGGGAAAGAGCCCUCGCCAAACUGUUCCCACAAAGUUGGAAGCCCAUUAUUGACUAUCAUCGAUAAAAGCCACAGAAUCAAGUGUGUGGUGGUGUGUCAAGGCGUCCACAUGGUGUAGCUAUCGGAUACUGUAAUUAGAAGCAUAUUACUGUGUAAAGUUUUGACAAGAGAUAAUUGAGCUGAAUAAACUGCCCUUUAAAAAUCCAUCCUGCCAUCUAAACAUGUUACAGUGACUACCGAUGACAUUUACAAGCUCACCGCUUCAACAAUUACCCACAUCUUACAAACUCUCUCUUACUAUUCGCUGACAUAUUUCUUUAUGUUGUGGCCUGGAGUGAUUUAGGAGGGGCGUGACAUUUCGGUCGACCACACUCACAUACUCACUCACAAACAAACACACACACACACACACACAGGCCGUCAUUUUGGAUCGCCGCCCUUUCUUUAGCAGUCAGGCGUCUUGUGUCUUGUGUGGUUCGUCUCUACUGCUGCCGCUCUAUAGAUGAGUCAUGGCUUUUGUCCAUGGGAAGACAUCUAUCACUCGCACCGCCUGGAGCUAAAUGAACACACGCAAAGGCCAUUUUCUCAGCGGCGGCGCAACGCUGCCACCUACAGACCCAGUGGCAGUACCUGUUGAUGUAGCUGAGGGCCAAGUAGGUGGGCUGCUGUUGCUCCUGCUUCUCCAAGACCCGGGGAUCCGUAUCUGAAACAGGAGAGAUGUUACGUGUUAACCAAACUCAUUUCCCACACUUUGUGACAAGUUAGAUAAUUUCACAGGCACGCUAUUGGGUCCUUCCCAUUCCCAGACUUGGAGUCUGAGAGUUGCAAAGAAGAAUUUUUGCCUGGGAGUGAAGGCGCUGUGAUGAAUGUAUACAGUGUAUUUCUAAAACACACACACACUUUAGGGCAACUUCCACUGCCUGAGGGGAGCACUAUUAACUUCAAAACAGUACCCCCCUCCUCCAAACCCCUGGGAAACUGAGGGUGGAGCUACUGUGAAGUGCUAGCGCCAUCAAGUGUUCAGCAAGGGACCAACCAAAGGAAUCCCCUAGCGUGCUAAUAGUAAUGUAAUGACUAUCAGAUGGGUCAUAUCUGUGCGACUGUUUCCAAAAAC